rnacentral:lncRNA from 1 species
ACACGUGUUGCAAGACCAUCUCUGCAUAAUUUUACCACUGUUAGUAGCAUUAACAUCAUGAUUGCUGGUGUCGGCAGCUUCUUUUUCCGAUUUCGAUUCUUCGAAGUCAUCAUCCGGCGAAGUUUCAAAAUCCGAUAAAGGAGACGAGGUGGAGUUAAAGAGGCGGCAUGAAUCGAAGAAGUCCGGCGGGAGUUCAAAUAUCGAACGAUGUCGCUUCGUCUGGUCCGGCUUGUUUUGCUUGCGCGGAAGCUGUUUCGCCGCCUUAUCACUGGCGGCGGCGUCGCUCGCCAUGGCUAUCAAAUAACUUGCCUCUUUUAAUACUUGAUGAUUGAAAAGGGUAAUUUUGUGAGCCGUUGAUAUCAAUUUCUUCAAGGGGCUGGCUAUUUAUACCCAUAUGUAAAAAGUGUUAAUAGGCCAAAAUGAGUGAUUUUUCAUAUGUAAAAUACCUUUAGAAAUGAGUGAACUUUAAAAAUAUUCAAAUUAAAAUUUAUCGACGGGCGGCACGUGCCGCUGGGUCGACGGCGUUAGUGUUGACGGGCAACAGAGCGGUGGAAAGAGUGGGAGUUUGCGGCAAGUGGGGAGAGUUUCAAUUAGGGCAAAAUGAGUGUCAGGGACCACACGUUCGAUUUAUGUAAAUUAACAUUAUCGACGGACACAUUCCGUCGAUAAAAAAAUAAAAAAUAUAUUAAAAAGUUCAAAAAAAUCACCGAUGAAAAAAAUUCAUUGGUUAUUGUGUCGAUAAAUCUUGUACGCCGGCCUUUCCAUAGGUGAAAGUGUCAACUUUAAGUAACUCAAUCAUCUGCCGUUAAUUCAUUAUUAUUUUGUCGGUAAUUAAGCAACUGAAUCAUCCGUCAUUAAUUCCUCAUUUUUAUGUCGAUGAUUAAUGACAAACGUGUGUUUCAUAGGUGAUUCCGUCGGUAUUCGAGUACAUUUUGUGCAGUGAAAACCCUGCAAUUGGUGGANUAAAUACAAGUUUACUAAAAGAAACAACAACUCAACAAGUAAUUUGCAAAGAGAGACACAACCUUGAAAAGAUCAUAGAAAAAAAAAUAGCCAAAUAGCAUGAAGAAAAUGACUGUGCUGCUGCAUAUACUUGGGAAAGUAAAUAUAGGACUGUAAAUGAACAAAACUACUCGCAAGCUAUUCAAAAUUCGGCUCGAAAAAAGCUUGUUCGGAGCUUGAUUCGAUAGUAAACGAGCCGAGCUCAGGCCUAUCAGCAUUUGGCUCGUUGAGCUAGCGAACAUGUUCGAAUUCGAUUGUUCGUGAACAUGUUUGCGAACCUAUUCACGAACCUUCAGUCGAACCUUCAAUCGAAUCUUAAACGAGUCGAGCCCAAGCUCGAGUAACAUAUUAAUUAAGAAGCUUUUCCUAAAUUUUUAAUAAGUCGAGCCACAACAUCAUGUAUACGGACAUUUAACGAGCCGAGUUCGAGCUUAAGCUCGAAUUCGAUAUUAUCGAGCAUCACCCGAGCCGAGCUCAAACCGAACCAAACUCGAGCUCGGUAAGUGGGUGAUGAGCCGAGCUCGAUCAACAAUAUUAAAGCUCGAAUCGAACUCGAGCCGAACUCGAACGCCCGAAUAUCUAAACGAGCCAAGCUCGAGCCUACUAGUAUUUGGCUCGGCUCGGCUCGUUUACAGCCCUAAGUAAAUACAAAAACUGCAAGUCUAAAUUAUUAUUGUCAGAAAAGUUUAGAAAAUUGAGUAGAGUCUAUAGACACACAAACACUUCAUCUUCAUAUCAAGGAAGUUGACAACAUAAAGGCAUUGGUCAAAUAGUUGAAGCUAAUGCAUUCCAUUGAAACUAAAUGUGUCAAUCUGUUGGCAAUGCGACGAAUGAGAGCUGGAUGAUGUCCUUUGGAGUGCAAGACAAAGCAAAAAUUGUAACAAUUUUAAUUGGUCAAAAACUUAGUAUUCUGAACUAAGGAACUAACCUGUGAAAAGUCUUAUGCGCCACAAGAGAAUUACCAUCAAAGACACACCCAGCAAAGUGCCCACCCCUUGCAAGUAAAAUAAUCCUCAAUCUGGAGUUAUCUCUAGGUUCAUGAAGUAUGUAUCUCAGCUUUUCAAUCACUUCUCUUGGGGUCAAAUAUACUACUCCAGCCCCAUCCAUGAAAUGCGGCUUAUCAGUUUCAUAUGAAAUACUAUCAGACUCAUCAAGAAAUAAGCAUUUCCAUACUGAAACUAUCUCCCCAUCUUUCAAUUGUACACAGAUUUUACGUUUUGAUAGUCCACCACAUUCAUGUUUCCUGUCGGCAAGAAUACUAGUCUCUCUCUCAUCCUCAUCAUCUGAUCCAGAAAUACUUGAUACAUCGUAGUCUUUAGACAAUGAGUUUGAACUUGCUUCAUCAAAGUCUUCCUCUUUAAUAAUGCUCUUUCCAGCAAUGCUUAGCUUUAUCUGUAGAUCAGACAUCAUCGAGUAAAUCAAGAUGCCAAACAACAUAAGGCCUAUAUUACAAGUGAAGGAGUGGGUGCAAACAAUUGUGUUUUUUAUCCACUCUCACUAGAAAUAGAGGCGAAAGAAGUGCACUGUUUCUUUUGAAAAUACAAAAUUAUUGACAUAAUUUUGUACAUCCUAAGAGAAAACCUUUUCUACAUCAACAAAAUUCACAAGAAUUUAUGAAUCAAAUUGGAUGCAAUAAACUUUAUGUUACCACCCCUAAGCAAAUCUGAUUACCAAACAAAGAACCGUCGAAUUGACCAAAGCUUAGGCAUCAACUAUUUGCUGAUAUCAGCACAUAUAGAACCUAGCAGAGUUGAAAAUUAAAAUUUCAAGGCAAUUCGCAAGUUUCCAAACUCAAAUUUUCUGCAACAAUCAGCCAACUAUCCUAUCGAUCAAACGAACUAAAUCACUGAAUGUAUACGCUCCAAAUCAUUGCAUCGAAAUCAUAUUGUACAAUGACCUAAAAAUGUAUAAACUGAAAACUAAUUCCAGCUCAGUUAAAUCACACAUGUUCAGUUUCCCCCAAUUGUAUCUGCAAUCGAGAAUUCAAAGACACAAAAUAGAAAAACAGGAAAACAUACAUUGAAACGGUGCAGGUCGGAUUUGAAGUGGUAGCGCUGCUCUUGUAGAGACUCGAACUCCGCCUUACACGUGUUGCAAGACCAUCUCUGCAUAAUUUUACCACUGUUAGUAGCAUUAACAUCAUGAUUGCUGGUGUCGGCAGCUUCUUUUUCCGAUUUCGAUUCUUCGAAGUCAUCAUCCGGCGAAGUUUCAAAAUCCGAUAAAGGAGACGAGGUGGAGUUAAAGAGGCGGCAUGAAUCGAAGAAGUCCGGCGGGACUUCAAAUAUCGAACGAUGCCGCUUCGUCUGGUCCGGCUUGUUUUGCUUGCGCGGAAGCUGUUUCGCCGCCUUAUCACUGGCGGCGGCGUCGCUCGCCAUGGC